rnacentral:rRNA from 1 species
AGAGCGAACGCUGGCGGCAUGCCUAACACAUGCAAGUCGCACGGUCCGGGGGCAACCUCGGGCAGUGGCGGACGGGUGAGGAACGCGUAGGGAUCUAUCCAUGGGUGGGGGACAACCGCGGGAAACUGCGGCUAAUACCGCAUGACGAGCGUGCCCGAGAGGGCAUGUUCCAAAGUUCGCAAGAGCGCCUGUGGCGGAGCCUGCGUCCGAUUAGCUUGUUGGUGGGUGAUGGCCUACCAAGGCGACGACGGGUA